AGAUAAAAUGAAGUAGAAAAAAAUGUGAAUCAACAUGGAGUUAAAAGUGAGAGUGGUGAGUGUUUCCAGGAAGCCCUGAUACUGAGGAGUGGUUCCAGGCAGUCCUGACUAUGUGAAGUCAAUCCAUGGGUUCCCUAAUGCAGGAAAUGAGAUUCAGAAAGUUGUCCUCUCUGAUUUCCCUUCCUGCACAAACCCAUUCCUAUCCACACAGACACUCACUGAACAAUUAAUUAAUUCAUUAAUCAGUUAGGUAAUUAAUUAAAAAGAAAGCAAUGUGCAAACCAGUAAAAAGAAAAAAAAAUGGAAAUUAAGUCAUUAAUUUUGGAAAAAAUAACUGAUAUUAGGGGAAAGGGUGUGAAAAAUUUAAGGAAACAAGAGUGCAGUGGCUCAAAAUAUUGCAUGAAAAUGAAUAUUCAGUUAUAAUGAGCAGAGACAUGAAAAUUAAUUAUACUUUGAUUCCUUAAUAUGACAGCUGAUUUCAAUAUUCUCAAUAGAGAAAAUAGAUAAUUUAGUCUUUUCCCUUUCGUGGUUGAUUGGAAUUUAUGUGUAAAGUGUUCUGCCAUAUGUGCAUCCCAAAUGUCUAUAUUUUAGUGAUUUGGCAUUCCAUGAUUAGCACAGACUAUGAAAAGAUCUGGUGGCAGAGAGCUGUGAUAUUGCUCAGUCUUCCCUAGGAAGGAUACUUCCUGCUAGUAAUGUGGUCAAGUGGUUGUUAAGUCAGGCACAGAUGGGUCUCGCCCCAGAUACUUUAAGUCUUCUUUCUUCUGUCUUACAUUCUUAUGAUGCCAAGAGAAUUAUAGAACACGUUUAUAUCUGAUAUGAAUAUCAAGAUAGGAUGUUUGGUCACACGACUUUACUUUAAAAUAUGGGUAAUAUUGGCACAAUGCUUGUUCCAGUACUAAAAUUUUAGAAACUGAAAAUCACUUAAAACACCUAAAAAAGAAAAUGGCUAAUUCUAUAUCAAAGUAAAUUUAAAAUGUGUUGUUUUCCCCCUUCUUGUCUAAACUAAAUUUCUUCCUAUUUACCUGUCUCUCAGCCAUUUCCCAAAAUGCUACCUAAUCAUCCAUUUUCUGACAUAAGGUUAAAGUGAUAGGAUAUAAAACAGAAGUGGAAUUAGUCACCCACCUAUCAUAAUCUGUUAGAUUUCUAAAGUGAUGACUUGUAAAUAUUACACAGAUUCCUAUCUGUGAGAACACACAAGUACAUGUUCAGCUUACAGGACUAGUCAAGGUAGGUAGGACUUUCAAGGCUGAGUCUUUAAGAAUAAAUACUAGUACAUCCACACACAGUGGAGAGCAUUUGACAACAGAACCAGCUGUAGAAAAGUUGAAGAUAAACUAAUGGAAUGAAAAGCACUAGGGAAGUAACCAUCCCAGGGUAUAAAAUAAUAACUAUAUUGCACAUCACUGAAAAUGCCCAUUUGUGGGUUGUUGAGGGGAAAAUUACAGUCUUAGAGAAAAGGUGACUGCUCCCCAAAGGAAAGAAUGUAUUGCAAAGCACAGACUUAUAAACUCUGUUCCUUGCAAGAGAUGAGAUUAGAUUCUCUAUUUUCUCACUCAUCAUAGCACACAUCACACAGCAGACCCAGUACUGAAAACCUUAACAUCAUCCUUAUUCUUCUCCAACAUUCUCUCUUUCAUGUCUUCCAAGCCUCAUUCCCCUGUCUCUCCCCUCUCCUAUCCUCACUCUAAAAAACAGUUCUCAAAGGAUGGUAGACUCCCUUCUUCACUUUAUGGUGCACAAGUUUACAGGAUACACCCACUUUUGGUUGUUCUUUCUCCCCAUAUUUGGCCCCCAAUCUCCAGAUUUUCUGAGCAAAUUUCAAAUAAGAUCAUGUAGUAGGUAUUGCUGGCAAGCAGAAAAACAGAAAUUGAUGUGAGUGCUCAUAUGGAGGUGAAAUGUGAUUUAGAAAUCUGAAAAUGUUAUCCAAAAGGUCUCAUAAGUUUUUGGAAAGUAUCAGACUUAAGAUAGAGCUCUGGAAAGAGAGGCCAAUUGGACACGCAAACUGUAUAUGCCCCAGUACAGGGGAACGCCAGGGCCAAAAAAAAUGGGAAUGAAUGGGUAGGGAAGUGGGGGGGGGGAGGGCAUGGGGGACUUUUGGGAUAGCAUUGGAAAUGUAAUUGAGGAAAAUAUGUAAUAAAAAAAUAAAUAAAUAUGCAUGGUUU
rnacentral:lncRNA from 1 species